GAGGAAGGUCCCCCACAUUGGAACUGAGACACGGUCCAAACUCCUACGGGAGGCAGCAGUGAGGAAUAUUGGUCAAUGGGCGAUGGCCUGAACCAGCCAAGUAGCGUGAAGGAUGACUGCCCUAUGGGUUGUAAACUUCUUUUAUAAAGGAAUAAAGUCGGGUAUGCAUACCCGUUUGCAUGUACUUUAUGAAUAAGGAUCGGCUAACUCCGUGCCAGCAGCCGCGGUAAUACGGAGGAUCCGAGCGUUAUCCGGAUUUAUUGGGUUUAAAGGGAGCGUAGAUGGAUGUUUAAGUCAGUUGUGAAAGUUUGCGGCUCAACCGUAAAAUUGCAGUUGAUACUGGAUGUCUUGAGUGCAGUUGAGGCAGGCGGAAUUCGUGGUGUAGCGGUGAAAUGCUUAGAUAUCACGAAGAACUCCGAUUGCGAAGGCAGCCUGCUAAGCUGCAAC
rnacentral:rRNA from 1 species